UGAGGCAGGAGAAUUGCUUGAACCCAGGAAGCGGAGGUUGCAGUGAGCCAAGAUCGUGCCACUGCACUCCAGCCUGGGUGACAUAGCGAGACUCUGUCUC
rnacentral:miRNA from 1 species